CUAAGUUUAACUCAAAUUAAUAUUCAUUGUACAAAUCACUAUGUUACUCCUAUGGUUUUUUUCCUUAGUACUAGUACUUACUAUAAAUUGGUAUUUCAUAUUUACAUGUUGCAGACUAUUGCUUCAGCAAUGGCUAUAUUAACGACAUUAUUUCGCAUCCCUACAAGUUCGACGGAGUAGACAUAGCUUUGCACUAUGUGUCUUUUCUAAGGCUGUGAUAUUUUAUGAUUCUCAUUUGUGGCAAUUAGUGGUAAAAUAAAUAGAGACACACUCUGCCUCCUUAUGAAGGUUCACGGGGCUUUUUUUGUUCAGAUUUAUAAGGCCAGAGAAUAUUCCUCUUGAAUAUGGAGGAUUGAUUCAACCCACAGAUUUUAAGAAUGGUCCCCCUCAACCAUCUUUUAAGUUAUAACUGUUGAAGGAGGAUAAAAAGCUAACAUACAAAUAGAAGGAAUUGAGGUUACAAGUACAGGUUGGUGGAAGUUAUACCUUUUCAGCUUAGGUGUUAUUCUGAAGCAUAUGUCAAGAGCUUGAGAUAAUGAUAAUGACAAUGAAGGAGGGGACACAAUAACACAAAUUUGGAGUUUGGAAAGUUUUAGAUUUAUUAUCGUAUUAAUAUUAUUAUUAGGUAAUGGUUAGUUGCAAACUGCGUGUAUUUUUUUUCGAGAACUUUUCUCAUGACUGUUAACUAACAUUAAU